AAACCAACAGGGAUUGCCUCAGUAGCGGCGAGUGAAGCGGCACGAGCUCGAAUUUGGAAUCUGGCACCUAUGGUGUCCGAGUUGUAAAUUGAAGGGUGGGUACAGAGUAACGGAGGGUGGACGAAGUCGCCUGGAACGGCGCGCCGCAGAGGGUGAGAGCCCCGUACGUCCAGCCUGUGUUUUUCAUUCCCGCCCCACGAGUCGAGUUGUUUGGGAAUGCAGCUCCAAGCGGGUGGUAUACUCCAUCUAAGGCUAAACAUUGGCGAGAGACCGAUAGCAAACAAGUACUGUGAAGGAAAGAUGAAAAGCACUUUGAAAAGAGAGUGAAAAAGGACGUGAAAUUGUUGAAAGGGAAGGGUAUCUGGGCGACGUAGCGCGCAGACGUGGGCGGCCGCGAGGCUGCUCCGCCGGCUGCGCGCUGGGCCGGGAUGUGGGGAGGGCGCCGGAGAAGGCGGCCGCAAAGUAGGUGCCGGUCAUUGGCGGGCACUGUUAUAGGCGGCUGCGAUGCGGCGCGCUCCCCUCAGGACUGCGAAUUAUCACGGAUCCCGGCAGAACGCGCAAAUACCGC
rnacentral:rRNA from 1 species